AGAUCAAAAAGAAUCAAGAAUCCAGUCUUGAGGAGCAGUAGAAGUCGAGUUACACCAUUUACAAGUUAAGACUCUUGUGCAGGGAAAAGCAAGCUAAGGUAGUCCGAGGGAUGAGCUGUAGUGAAGUCAUGUCUCAACUGUCAUAGUGGAUGCAAGCUUGAACAUGAUCAUAUUUUGCAACUUACUUCUGCUCAUGAACACUGUUUAACUUUAUUUUAUAACUUUCUUUUGGGUCUGUAAUAACUAACUUAAUUUCAUAUGUGAUGAAUGUUUAUUUUAAGAUUAGCUCGUAGAGUCAAUUCAACCA